GUGAAUCAUCAAAUUUUUGAACGCAUAUUGCACUCUCUGGUAUUCCGGAGAGUAUGCCUGUUUGAGGGUAAUUAAAAAGAACCUUUAACCAAUUUUUUUUGGUCAAAGGAAAUGAGUUCUCCGCGGUUAUUGCGGUAGCUGGAAAUAAAUGGUAGUUUCAUUUUAGUCGAGACGAGUAAUAAUAUUAUUUCGCGAAAGCUUCAUUAGUGGACAAUC
rnacentral:misc_RNA from 1 species